GAGGGUAUAACUCAGUGGUAGAAGAGAUGCUUAGCAUGCAUUAGGUCCUGAGUUCAAUCCCCAGUACCUCCU
rnacentral:tRNA from 1 species